GAUGAACGCUGGCGGCGUGCCUAAUACAUGCAAGUCGAGCGAACGGACGAGAAGCUUGCUUUUCUGAUGUUAGCGGCGGACGGGUGAGUAACACGUGGAUAACCUACCUAUAAGACUGGGAUAACUUCGGGAAACCGGAGCUAAUACCGGCUAAUAUUUUGAAUCGCAUGGUUCAGAAGUGAAAGACGGUCUUGCUGUCCCUUAUAGAUGGAUCCGCGUUGCAUUAGCUAGUUGGUAAGGUAACGGCUUACCAAGGCAACGAUGCAUAGCCGACCUGAGAGGGUGAUCGGCCAGACUGGAACGGAGACACGGUCCAGAGUCCUACGGGAGGCAGCAGUAGGGAAUCUUGCGCAAUGGGCGAAAGCCUGACGGAGCAACGCCGCGUGAGUGAUGAAGGUCUUCGGAUCGUAAAACUCUGUUAUUAGGGAAGAACAGAUGUGUAAGUAACUGUGCACAUCUUGACGGUACCUAAUCAGAAAGCCACGGCUAACUACGU
rnacentral:rRNA from 1 species